AAUAUGGCGGAAGUGGACCUGAGCAGCAUGAACAUCCUUCUCAGGAGACAUGAAUAGUCGUCAUGUUUCUGCCUUCUGCAUCGCUGGCUUACCAAGGGGAAACGAAGUCACGCGGCAGAGUCUACUGCCCUCAUGCGAUGGAGAGCGUCGAGACUCUGAGCAUUGUUGAUGCCACGCAAAAGCCGUCCAUCUGGGAGCCGAGGAGACGCCGCUGUCAGUGAGAUAAGUGUCUGGUGUCAUGAGGGCUCUGCUCACGCCCAACCUGAGUCCAGGAACGGCGUCUCCUCUGCAGCAGAAAGUUGCAUCCAGGAGGAUGACUCCAGGUGCUGCGCUUCCAGAGGAAUUUUCCAAGAGCCCCAGCCCGGGGAGAAAGUGGCAGAAGUGGACAUGAGCAGACUGGACAUCCUUGUCAGCAGACAUGAACAGUCCUCCGCUUUCUGACUCCCGCAUAACUGGCUGACCGAGAGAAAAGAAGUCACGCGUCAGAGUCUCAUGUCCUCAUGCGAUGGAAAGCGAGCCAGAGCGACGAGACCGCGAGCAUUGUUGAUGCCACGCAAAAGCCGUCCAACUGGGAGGGGAACGGCCGCCGCUCUCAGUGAGAUAAGUGUCUGGUUUGGUGAGGGCUCUGCUCACGCCCAACCUGAGUCCAGGUUGCGAAGCCCACUAAGUUAGGGCCGGUUUUGUAUGAAAAGGUUCCUGACUAGCUGUGGUGAGGAGGGAGAAAAGGUCCCUAUUUUCAGAGGUUGCUCAUUUCUCUGGUCAGGAACGGUGUCUCCUCCGCAGCGGAAGGUUGGAUUCAGGAGGAUGACUCCAGGUGAUCAGUUGCUUGCUUUCCUCCCAUUUUCUCUCUCUCUCUCUCUCUCCUCUUGUGUGUUGGCCAACUUUCUCACUCUCUUUCCUCUCCUGUCCUCAUGCCUUCUCCCUUUCUAGGACACGGGCAUGCGUGCUAGGUGUGCAUCCCCACAGGCCAGGUCUUGGGAGCCAUGGAGAAGUAGGAGGGGACGAAAACCAUGCAGGGCUGCGACUGUCGGUGUUAACUCGGUCUCUGUUCAUUGAGCGGGGCCGAUGUAGAUGGGAUUGGAGAGGGAGGCAGCGACGAGGGCAAGAUUUCCAGCACCAAUAGAGCUCUGUGUAGUGAUAGUUCUUGCUUGGCUUUAUUAGUUUGCAGGGGAAUCGUCCAGGAGCCCUAGCCGCACAAGAAUAUGGCGGAAGUGGACCUGAGCAGCAUGAACAUCCUUCUCAGGAGACAUGAAUAGUCGUCAUGUUUCUGCCUUCUGCAUCGCUGGCUGUGAGUAAGAGGACAGUGCUUUGAAUUCCUCAACUGUACUCGCUGUAGUUUUCUUCACAGGCCGUGUGCUUCCUCGUUAGUUACGAGGCUCUGGGAUUAAGGCUGGGGAAGGGACAAGAGUCUCCUGGGCAAAGUGAGUAUUUUGGGUGCCGUUACAAUGGGUGCCUUCUAGUUGCAGUUGUAACGUUUUAAUGGGAGAUGGGUUGAGGGUGGAACCGUGGGAUAUGAGAGAUGUGAAAUGAAGGAGACCACGCGACAUUGCAGAUGAAGAUGCUAAUUUUUUUCGUUCCCUCCUCCCGCUGGGUUUAGUACCAAGGGGAAACGAAGUCAGGCGGCAGAUGUUGCCGACUGAGAUGGUAACGGAUUUGUUUUUUCCCCUUGUGCUGGGUUACAAUGGGUGCCUUCUAGUUGCAGUUGUAACGUUUUAAUGGGAGAUGGGUUGAGGGUGGAACCGUGGGAUAUGGGAGAUGUGAAAUGAAGGAGACCACGCGAAAUUGGAGAUGAAGAUGCUAAUUUUUUUUGUUUUCCCCCCCUUCGUUAGGUUUAGUACCAAGGAAAACGAAGUCACGCGUCAGAGUAAUAAGGCAUUAAAGAAGAAAUGGUUAUAAGAAAAAAUAAAGAUAAAAUGCUUUCUAAACUUAACAAACUAGGCUUGUGAAGUCUCUUCCCACAGGUUCCAGUAAUAUUGCUGCCCAAACUCUCAGGCCAGGAUCUGCUUCCAGCGUACAGCAGCUGUUUCUCUGAUCAUCUUAGGAGGUGAAAGGGAGAUGGGUAGGGAGAGAGAACUUGGGUGUUUUUGCCCAUCACUUUUAUAGCUUGGUCACCAUUUGAAAAACAUUUUCCGGAGUGUUCACCUUAAGUAAAGUUCUUUCUUGCUGAGAGCAAGGAGACAUGGAGUUUGGUGGAAGAAGGAGGCUUUGUGCUGUUUCUGUUCAUCUGUGUAUACUACUUCUUUCUUCCCCCUCUUGUCCUCUGUGGAAUCUGUUUACAGCUGAAAUGCAAAUUGAGGCAAACGCACAUCUCUUUCUUUAGGACAAGUGUGCUUGACCAGUUCCACUUAAUCAGGCUAUGUGAAUUGGAACUUGUGCUUUUAAUACCCUAUAGGUGGAAUUUCAUAACUUUACACAGACUGUUGCUACAGCCAUUUCACCAAGAUAGUAUUGAUCACAGAGUUUCAAAUGCUACCUCACAAGGCAUAUUUUGUCCAAAGAUUGUUACAAUAGUGUGUAGGGUGUGAAUACAGGGGUGCAUUUGGUCACGGUGGGCUGGGAAUUAUCCAUUUGUGGAGGGCUCUCUAACCUUACCCUUCCCUGGAAAUUGCCAGACAAUGAACGGAAGUGGAGAAUUCUUGCUCGAAUCCCAAAUUGCUGGAAAUCUCAGACUGGCUGGAGCUGGUAUGAUUUCCCAGUGGAGUCAGUUUUUCUCCCCGGUGGAUUAUGAUUUUCCCCAUUGUAAUUAGUUGCAAUUUAUCUACUUCCCCACAGCCCCUCACUAGGUUCUCUAGGCGGCAUCUCAUUGCUUCACAUUAAAGCUGCUGCCCUUUGGGUCUGUAUGUUCUGGGGUAUUUGCUGUCAUGAGUGACUGCGCCGGCUUGGGCCAGUGCUGGGCAAGGUGAGGGUUGUAAAUUUCUGAUGAAGAAUGCUUUGUGUUAAA